GUUCGUAGGCGGUGCGGCAAGUUGGGAGUGAAAUCUCUGGGCUUAACCCAGAGGCUGCUUCCAAAACUGCUGUGCUUGAGUGUGGGAGAGGCGCGUGGAAUUGCAGGUGUAGCGGUGAAAUGCGUAGAUAUCUGCAGGAACACCCGUGGCGAAAGCGGCGCGCUGGACCACUACUGACGCUGAGGAACGAAAGCUAGGGGAGCAAACAGGAUUAGAUACCCUGGUAGUCCUAGCCCUAAACGAUCAGGACUUGGGGUGCCACCCGUUCGGGUGUCGUCCCGGAGCUAACGCGUUAAGUCCUGCACCUGGGGAGUACGGUCGCAAGACUGAAACUCAAAGGAAUUGACGGGGGCCCGCACAAGCGGUGGAACAUGUGGUUCAAUUCGACGCUACGCGAGGAACCUUACCUGGGCUCGAAAUGCUGGUGACCAGCUGUAGAAAUACGGCCUUCCCGCAAGGGACACCAGUAUAGGCGCUGCAUGGCUGUCGUCAGCUCGUGCCGUGAGGUGUUGGGGUUAAGUCCCGCAACGAGCGCAACCCCUGCACGUAGUU
rnacentral:rRNA from 1 species